GACGAACGCUGGCGGCGUGCUUAACACAUGCAAGUCGAACGGAAAGGCCCUUCGGGGUACUCGAGUGGCGAACGGGUGGGUAACACGUGGGUGAUCUGCCCUGCACUUUGGGAUAAGCCUGGGAAACUGGGUCUAAUACCGAAUAGGACCACGCGCUUCAUGAUGUGUGGUGGAAAGCUUUUGCGGUGUGUGCUGGGCCCGCUGCCUAUCAGCUUGUUGAGGGGGUAAUGGCCGGCCAAGGCGACGACGGGUAGCGGGCCUGAGAGGGUGACCGGCCACACUGGGACCGAGAUACGGCCCAGACUCCUAAGGGAGGGAGCAGUGGGGAAUCUUGCACAAUGGGCGCAAGCCUGAUGAAGAGACGCCGCGUGAGGGAUGACGGCCUUCGGGUUGUAAAACUCUUUCACAAGGGACGAAGCGUAAGUGAAGGUACCUGGAGCAGAAGCCCCGGCCAAAUACGUG
rnacentral:rRNA from 1 species